UUCCACCUACCUUCUCAUAUUAUUUUCUACGCUUUCCAAAAUGAAAAGACAAGCAUGGUUAGGCUAUUGUGAAAUUUAAAGUCCCCGGAUGAUGACAUCAUCGAAACUUUUUUUUUUUUUCGAAAGCUAAGCCUUGUGAUUGGGCAGUAUUGUUUACAAAACAAAGCACCAACUUACUUCCGGGUCUGUAAACAGCGCCCGCUAUAACAGCUGGAAUACGAUUUGUACGCAAACUGAAAACUGAGGGCGUGCUACUUAUUUUCUAUAAAUUGCACUGCAUGAAACAGUGGUGACGUCCAUUUUCUGAAUUCAUCUUCUGCUGAUACUUUUAGAAACCCUAACUUUUAAUCUGAUCGUAUACAAUUUUAUGAAACUAUGGAAGUUACCAAUGACCUGAGGGAAGAAAGUUCAACAGCAUUUAGGCAAGUCCACUGUUCUUCUGUAAAGGCACCCUGUAUGCAUAAUUAAAUACGAAACUUAAGCAAGUUUGUAAUGAAGAAGAUGUAGUUUCCAGAAGAGAUGAAAACGAUGAGGACGACAGCAAUAUUAUGUAAAUGCGUUUGAUUUGUGGCACAUCCUCUUUAUUGGUUCUGAUACAACAUUCUACUUCGCAAAUGGUUCCAUUGUGACAGAACAGCUAUGAAUUUCCUCUGUCAAGGCUAGAUUCAGAGAGAGUGUAGCCAUCUGCUUUUCUCAAUAUCUAAGAUUUUAAAGUGUGCACUAUGGAGUUUUGUACACUAGGCCCCUUGUUUAUUUUUGAUAUUUCUUUGACAUUUUUAAAAUCAAUUGAAAUUGCCAAAUACUGACUGAAAUAACUGUACUUACAGAAAUAGUAUAGAAUUGUCAGCACUUGACUCUAACUUGAUUUUGAUUUAUUAUUUUUUUGGAUAUUGAUUAUUGUAUAUCCUUUUGUUCUAUAUUGAAAUGGGGCUUUUGCUAAUUUACAGUAUACUUAAGUACAGUACAGGAUGCAUUAAACAUUAAAGGAUAAACACAUAACGCUAUAUAAUUGUAAGUAAUUUUGUAUUGUUGACCUCUUUUGUCCCGGAGCAUCAAAG